rnacentral:ncRNA from 1 species
UAGGAACCGUGAGAUUAAGCCAUCGCGGCAGGUGCUCACGUUAAGCCCACUGACUUUCAUGUCCCUAUCUACUAUCUAGCGAAACCACAGCCAAGGGAACGGGCUUGGAAUAAUUAGCGGGGAAAGAAGACCCUUUUGAGCUUGACUCUAAUCUGGCAGUGUAAGGAGACAUAAGAGGUGUAGAAUAAGUGGGAGAUAUUAGACUUCGGUUUGGUAUCGACAAUGAAAUACCACUACUCUUAUUGUUUCCUUACUUACUUGAUUAAAUGGAACGUGUAUCAUUUCCUAGCCAUUAUACGGAUAUAAUUAUUAUGUCUUAUGGUAUUGGGUUUUGAUGCAAGCUUCUUGAUCAAAGUAUCACGAGUUUGUUAUAUAAUCGCAAACAAAUUCUUUAAUGAGAGAAUGCAUUUAUGUAUUAUUAAUUUAAAAAUUUGGUAUAACU